GGCAGGUUACCCAAGUGGCCAAAGGGAGCUGACUGUAAAUCAGCCGCGCAAGCUUCGGGAGUUCGAAUCUCUCACCUGCCACCA
rnacentral:tRNA from 2 species